rnacentral:lncRNA from 1 species
UUUGGUGGGGGCUGGCCCUUGGCCCUCCAACUCCUUUACCCUACAUGCCUGAGAAGCCAGGGACCAAGAUGGAUCUUCUCCUCGACAUCAGCUAAGCCUGGAGGACUCUUCCCCUCAGAGACCAUGGAGAGGGACAGCCACGGGUCCAGUUCUGGCAGGGCCACACAGGGAUCAGGUACAAGGAGCAGAGGGAGAGCUGUCCCAAGCACGCUGUUCGCUGUGACGGGGUGGUGGACUGCAAGCUGAAGAGUGACGAGCUGGGCUGCGUGAGGUUUGACUGGGACAAGUCUCUGCUUAAAAUCUACUCUGGGUCCUCCCAUCAGUGGCUUCCCAUCUGUAGCAGCAACUGGAAUGACUCCUACUCAGAGAAGACCUGCCAGCAGCUGGGUUUCGAGAGGUCUGAAUGCCCUUCCCAGCGGUAUAUCUCUCUCCAGUGUUCCCGUAAGAUGUUCUUCUUCUUGGAUUGUGGCCAGUGUCGUGUGGGAGUAAAGGGCAGAGGGGCAGCACUCCUCCAAGGGAGGUGUUUGGCACAGGGGUUCAAGUCAGGAACAGUGUCUUAGCCAGCAGGCCUGCUUCAG